GCUUCCGCUUCCGGGUGCUAGCACCCACGUGGCACCACCCUGCGGUAUUUAAACCUCGCACGGGGGAGACGCAGUGAGCUCCAGGGAGCGCUCUGUAAGGGUGGUUUUCGGUGUCCUCGUCGACCAGUACGUCUUGGAACAGACGCACAAUCUGCAUCUUCAAGUGGGAGCCACUCACAGAGGUCAUGACCCCCUCCACUCGGCUCCACACGCUCAGCACGGAGCCGCAGAGCACGUGGUCGAGGCCCGAGCAUGGCUCACCGUGUACAUCUCCACGUGGCCCGCACCCGAGUGGCCGCGCGUGUUAAACCUCUUCACUUCCAGCUUCUUCACGCGUUCCUCCCCCGAGCCCAGGCUCUCGAGACGCUUGGCGACGAUGGAAGCGAAGCGCUGCUCCCCGGCGAGCUCGGAGAUGAGGAAGAGAUACUCGGGGGCAUUCACCUGGUUAGAGCGACUUCUUCCUGCGCUCCUUCCUCACCAGCCACGGAUCUAGGGAAUGGCACGGGAGCUCCUCACCCGCUCCUCCACUCCUCACCCACCCCUUGCGUGCAUGUCCGUCCGUAACGACGUAACCGCUCAGCUACUCCCGGACGGAUAUUUGUGAUGAACUGGCACAAUCUGCUAAGUUUGGGUUGCAAGUUACCUAAAAGGAAUAACCAAGAGCAAUAUCACCCCCUACUGGCAAAAGGAUGCCUCCGCUACGUCACAUUGUUCUGCACAUGGACAACUGCCAUCAGGGUGUCCCCUCGGCUAAAAAGAAAACUGCAGCCGGGCAUUGUAAUUA